rnacentral:rRNA from 1 species
CCUACGGGAGGCAGCAGUGAGGAAUAUUGGUCAAUGGACGAGAGUCUGAACCAGCCAAGUAGCGUAAAGGAUGACUGCCCUAUGGGUUGUAAACUUCUUUUAUAUGGGAAUAAAAUGUUCCACGUGUGGGAUUUUGUAUGUACCAUAUGAAUAAGGAUCGGCUAACUCCGUGCCAGCAGCCGCGGUAAUACGGAGGAUCCGAGCGUUAUCCGGAUUUAUUGGGUUUAAAGGGAGCGUAGGUGGAUUGUUAAGUCAGUUGUGAAAGUUUGCGGCUCAACCGUAAAAUUGCAGUUGAAACUGGCAGUCUUGAGUACAGUAGAGGUGGGCGGAAUUCGUGGUGUAGCGGUGAAAUGCUUAGAUAUCACGAAGAACUCCGAUAGCGAAGGCAGUUCACUGGACUGCAACUGACACUGAGGCUCGAAAGUGUGGGUAUCAAACAGGAUUAGAUACCCUUGUAGUC